GGGGGGGGGGGGGGGGGGGGGGGGGAGAAUUCUAGUAAUGUUUUCCCGGGAAACAAAACUGAAGGAGUUUAGCAGACCCGUUCAUUUGCAAAUCGGAGGUUUAAGGGGCUGAGGACUUCAGUUGUGCGUUGGGACCGGGAGUCUGUUAGAAGACCGGCUUGUGGCGGGCCAGGGUACCAGGCGGUCCACGAAGACCUCAGAUCCUCACUCUUCAUCUUCGAAACAGGUAAUCACGUGGUAUUCUCUUCAUGGAAAAGUGGUGAGGGCUUCAGAGCAGGACCUGGCCAGUGGCUGGCUGCUCCUGACAGCAAAGCAGAAAUCAAACUCCAGGCAGUGUGACUCCUAACUCCCAGGCAGAGGCAGGGUUGGGUGUGAAGGUUUGCCCGGGGCUCGGGCUUUGUCCUUUGUCCUCGGGGCUUGGGUCCCCCUCUUGCCAGCUCCCUGUGCACACGUGUGUGUGUGUGUGUGUGUGUGUGUGUCCCUGCCCUGGUCUGGGGCAAUGGUGUCUGUUCAUCCUCUCCAGUUCUGGGUGAGGACAGUCAGCUACUUGUCUGAGAGCCAAGGGCAGCCAGCAAGGGUUCAGACGCCUUUUGCUUCCUGAGAAGGGAGGUGGCCUUGCCCUGUGGGAAGCAUCAGUUGGAGGGAGAUGAAUUUAGCUGCCUUCCCUGGUUGGUGAUGGGGGAGGGUCCUGUCAGCCAGAGGAUGUAGGCUUAGCUCCAAAAGGGCUUUUGUCUGAGGCUGGGCCUCAGGCCAGAGUGACAUUCUUCGGUGCAGGCUGCCAGGCCACCACUGAGUGGGCACCUGCAGGGCAGCUAGGGAAGGAGUGAGGGGCCUGUCUUUCUUCCACAGAGGAGAGCAUGCGGGGAUGGAAUCUGCCAUUUUGGGGCCCCUGGGGUGCGGGGGCCAUGCCUGUGGUUGCUCCUGGCUCCAAAAAACAUGCCAAGGCCCAGGCUACUCAGGGAUGUGGGCAAUUAACAUUUUAGCUUCUGUCAUGUCUGAUAAAGAUCCCCACAAGAUGAAAGGAAUCCACUCUGCCUUAAAUGAGUGCAGCAGAAGAAACCUAGGAUCAUAGAAAGACCUGGGAGCCUCGGCCACAGCUCCCCUCGCAGCAGGGAUGCUGCCCUUCACUGAGGAUGUGUUUUGCCCCACUACGAAUCCUCUGCACAGGGAGGUUGCAUGAAUUCCUUUCAUCCUGAGGUGUCUCCAUGGCAGCCAGUAGGCACAGAAGACCCGGAAGGAGGUAGCAGGCCUAGGGGAUAGUUCAUGGUCCAAGGGCCCUGUAGGACCAGGCUGAGGAGACCUGAGUUCACACCCCAGUGAUGGAGUCUGGUGGCUUCACAAAUGCUUGUAAUUCCAGCUCCCAGCGAUCCGGCACCCAGGCCAGUCAUCCACAGACAUCUGCCCCUCUUGAACAACUAUUGAGGAGUCUCUAUGCUCCAGAUGUGUUGGCUGUGCAUGAGGACGGCAGUAUGGCAAAUCAGUGCAGCCUUUCCAUCGCUGAGCUUACAGUCUGACUCAGCGGCGCUUAGACUUGAUGUUCCCAGAGGACAUUGCCAUCUUCAAAUGUGCUGGACCACAGUCUUACAUCUGGGAUGCCCGGAGCCUGCAGCUUGGACGUGCCUGGCGGUGGAAAGAGACGACUAUAUUAAAUCAUCCCAAAAAAUUGCGUUAUGGCUGUGAUUAACACUCUGCAUCAGCAGUAUGGGCUACAGAGAAAGAUAGCACAGCGUCUGUUCUACCCUUGGCUCUGGAACACCGUGGGGUAGGACUCUGAAGACACCAUUUCUAGACAACAGCUGUCUUGUUAGGUUCUUCCGCUGACAGGGGACACGAGGAGAGCAGACGGAGAGAGCAGACACUUUCUGUCUUCUCUUGUUCUUGCCGACCUCCCUGCGCCCGGGUGUGUCCCUUCUUGGAUGUCUGAGCACCCACUCUGCCUAGAGCAGCCUAGGGCUCCCAUCCCAACCCCCAGCCCUGUAGCGAUCCUUCAGAUGUACCAGCAGGAGCCAGGAGCUCCCCCGUUCUGGAAACAGCCCCGUGUCCCUUUGUUUCCUAGUUCUAGGAUUGGCAGCUCUAUCCUGCCGAUCCCUGAGUUACCUCUGUUUCUUUGUGUGCAACCCAACGACGUCCCCCCAGAGUAGAAUGCCUCUUGUGUUUUUAUAGUGCCCACCCGGACCGAAACCAGAUAUGGCACAUUCGACCUGGGCCAGGUUAACAAAGGUGACUCUAAAGAAAUACAUUUAGGUCUCUGGCUUAAAGGGCCAGUAAGACUCACUGGGUGGGGGUGUGUGGAAGAAAUAAAGUAGAGAAGGAAUGCAGACUCUGGAGGAGAGAUAGACAGAGAAGGCCUAGGUCAUCUAGAAAAAUGGAGGAAAGUAAUGGUCACAUCAUGCAGGACCUUGAAAAGACAGGGAGCCAUUGAGGAAUGCUGGAGAAUCUUCCGAUGACAAUAAGGAUGCCAAGUGGGCAUUCUCCACCUCCAGCGCUUCCUUCUGGUGCUGAAGGAACUCUCACCUUCCUCCACUGUUAGAAUUUGUUCUAUCAGAAACACAAAAGCAAUGUAGCAAAAGUCAUAGAUCAUUUACAUGGAGGAUUUGACAAGGGGACCAAGAAUAUAGUUCCAUGGUAGAACACUUACCUACAGUGUGCAAGGCCACAGGUUCAAUCCUCAGCACUGGAAAGAAGAAACAGAAAAGGUAAUCCUUUAGGGUACAUGUACCCCCACUGCAUGGUUCAGUUAAAGGAAAGAUCUUUGUGUGAAGAAAACAUCAUGCUUCUUCCUGCAAAGUCGCCUGAGGAGGCUUUGUGCUUUGAACAAAUGUGUGAUGGUGAGUGGCAGCCUUGAGCAGGGCCCAGUUUGUCUUCGGCAUCAACUGAAAUUCCAAUGUUGUCUUUGCUUCCUAUCUUGAGAACACAAUCCAGCCUCUCUGAACCCUUGCUGCCUUGUCUGAAAAUGUCGUCUUCUGGGUUCUUUAAAAUUAGGUCAUAUUAGCUGGGCGGUGGUGGCGCACGCCUUUAAUCCCAGCACUCGGGAGGCAGAGCCAGGCGGAUCUCUGUGAGUUCGAGGCCAGCCUGGGCUACCAAGUGAGUCCCAGGAAAGGCGCAAAGCUACACAGAGAAACCCUGUCUCGAAAAACCAAAAAAAAAAAAAAAAAAAAAUUAGGUCAUAUUGUUUACA